rnacentral:rRNA from 1 species
AUACGGAGGGUGCAAGCGUUAUCCGGAUUCAUUGGGUUUAAAGGGUGCGCAGGCGGAUAUUUAAGUCAGUGGUGAAAUCCCGGGGCUCAACCUCGGAACUGCCAUUGAUACUGAAUAUCUGGAAUACGGUUGAAGUGGGCGGAAUGUAGCAUGUAGCGGUGAAAUGCAUAGAGAUGCUACAGAACACCGAUCGCGAAGGCAGCUCACUAAGCCGAUAUUGACGCUCAGGCACGAACGCGUGGGGAGCGAACAGGAUUAGAUACCCUAGUAGUCC